rnacentral:rRNA from 1 species
CCUACGGGUGGCUGCAGUGAGGAAUAUUGGUCAAUGGAUGCGAGCCUGAACCAGCCAAGUCGCGUGAGGGAAGACGGUCCUAUGGAUUGUAAACCUCUUUUGUCGGGGAGCAAAAGACGCCACGCGUGGCGUUCCGAGAGUACCCGAAGAAAAAGCAUCGGCUAACUCCGUGCCAGCAGCCGUGGUAAUACGGAGGAUGCGAGCGUUAUCCGGAUUUAUUGGGUUUAAAGGGUGCGCAGGCGGAAGAUCAAGUCAGCGGUAAAAUUGAGAGGCUCAACCUCUUCGAGCCGUUGAAACUGGUGUUCUUGAGUGAGUGAGAAGUAGGCGGAAUGCGUGGUGUAGCGGUGAAAUGCAUAGAUAUCACGCAGAACUCCGAUUGCGAAGGCAGCAUACCGGCGCUCAACUGACGCUCAUGCACGAAAGUGUGGGUAUCGAACAGGAUUAGAUACCCUUGUAGUC